CGAGUGGCUGCCUAAGGGAGACUUUGAGCAUCCUGAGCCAAAUCUGUUUAGGUAUAUAAAGCUCUAGUACCUUUGAUCUUCACUCUUCAGUCCAGUAGUCUAUCUGAGCUGAUCAGAUCAUUGCAUCCACGAGACCAUUUCUACUUAAACUGCUAAUAUGCCUGGCCACGUCAAGCUUGGAAAGUCUGGGGAGCCCGAUCCCGAUCCGGCUCCUUAUCUCAUGAUCUCCAUGGAGAUGAAGAGAGCUGACAUGCUCAAGCCUACGAUCCAAAAAAGUCCUACUGGGCUCCUGAUGGUCAAGGUGGCUUCAAGGAGGGUAUCUUGGAGAGCGACGAUGGAACCAAGGCCACCAUGAUGAUGGGGCACGAGAAAAAAGUGUUCAAGUCCUCUGAGGUGGGCCAAGUCAACCCUCCAAGUUCGAGAAAUGUGAGGACAUGGCCAAUUUGACCUUUCUCAAUGACGCUUCCGUCUUCUGGAACUUGAAGACCCGGUUCCAGGCCAAAAUGAUCUACACCUACUCUGGACUCUUCUGUAUUGUGGUGAACCCCUACAAACGGUUC